GACGAACGCUGGCGGCGUGCUUAACACAUGCAAGUCGAACGGUAAGGCCCUUCGGGGUACACGAGUGGCGAACGGGUGAGUAACACGUGGGUGAUCUGCCCUGCACUUCGGGAUAAGCCUGGGAAACUGGGUCUAAUACCGGAUAGGACCACUGCCUGCAUGGGUGGUGGGGGAAAGCUUUUGCGGUGUGGGAUGGGCCCGCGGCCUAUCAGCUUGUUGGUGGGGUGAUGGCCUACCAAGGCGACGACGGGUAGCCGGGCUGAGAGGGUGACCGGCCACACUGGGACGGAGAUGCGGCCCAGACUCCUACGGGAGGCAGCAGUGGGGAAUAUUGCACAAUGGGCGCAAGCCUGAUGCAGCGACGCCGCGUGAGGGAUGACGGCCUUCGGGUUGUAAACCUCUUUCAGCACCGACGAAGCGCAAGUGACGGUAGGUGCAGAAGAAGGACCGGCCAACUACGUGCCAGCCGCCGCAGUAACAC
rnacentral:rRNA from 1 species